rnacentral:rRNA from 1 species
AUACGGAGGGUGCAAGCGUUAAUCGGAAUUACUGGGCGUAAAGCGUACGUAGGCGGUUCGUUAAGUUAGAUGUGAAAGCCCCGGGCUUAACCUGGGAACUGCAUUUAAAACUGGCGGACUAGAGUUGAGUAGAGGGGAGUGGAAUUUCAGGUGUAGCGGUGAAAUGCGUAGAGAUCUGGAGGAACACCAGUGGCGAAGGCGACUCCCUGGACUCGAACUGACGCUGAGGUACGAAAGCGUGGGUAGCAAACGGGAUUAGAAACCCGGGUAGUCC